ensembl:lncRNA
GUUGACCUCUAACCCCUUGGCUGCCCAACAUCCCACCAAGUGUCCAAAUGUUGCUGAUGCUUCCUCUGGCCCCACUCUAGGUCUGCCAUCCUUGCACCAUGCUCUAAUUCAUCCUGUAUCCGUGGGGACUUAAGUGGUCAUCUCAAGGCUCAGAUGGCUUCACCUCCUGCACAAUUCCAGCACAGCUGACCUAAACUCCCUAGUGCAUCUGCUCAGGCCUUCCACAUUUGGACGCUAAGAUUUUCUCCUAGUCAUUUCAUUUGCUCCUUGCCAAAUACCUUUCUCCAGAGAGUGAGGAAGAAGACCUUACUUAACAAGGAGGAAGAGUGAACAUUUGGAGCAUGGAAAAGGAGGGAUAAAAAGUUACCGUGCCUUGCUGAUAUGGUUUUCCAACGGCCUGUUUGCUUUCUGCUGCACAUUUUUUGUUAUACUGACUUCUGAUACACAAAUAUAACACUAUCUGUUUACUGCUGUUACAGAGCAACCCUGCCAGAAGUCAAUACCAUCAUCCCUCAGUGGGCCCAGGAAUUCUCAUCAGGAACUUGACCAGCGUAUUGGGCCCACGGAAGGACAGAGCCUGGUCCCUGAUCCCUUCCACCACAGCAAGAUGGAUUCACUCUUUGUUUGAACCUCUGCACAUCUUUAUAUCUCUCUUGCCCAUUUGCCCAUUUCUUCCUUUUUGUCCAGGAAGCACUGUGGACCCAUGGAAAGAACGUAGGUUCUGAAGUCCUAGAAACCAGUAGUUCAAAUCUUAUUUCCAUUCAGAUGGGGUAGGCCAGCAAGCUGGAGACUCGGGGAGGAGUUGUAGAUUGAGUCCAAAGGCAGUCUAUUGGGAGAACCCCCUCUUGGGCAGAGGAGGUCAGUCUUUGUUCUUAUAAGGCCUUCAAUUGAUGGGAUGAGGCCUACCACAUGAUGGAGAGCAAUCUGCUUUAUUCAAAGUCUUCUGAUUUAAAAGCAAUCUCAUCUGGGAUGCCU